rnacentral:rRNA from 1 species
GACGAACGCUGGCGGCGUGCCUAAUACAUGCAAGUUGAGCGCUGAAGGUUGGUACUUGUACCGACUGGAUGAGCAGCGAACGGGUGAGUAACGCGUGGGGAAUCUGCCUUUGAGCGGGGGACAACAUUUGGAAACGAAUGCUAAUACCGCAUAAAAACUUUAAACACAAGUUUUAAGUUUGAAAGAUGCAAUUGCAUCACUCAAAGAUGAUCCCGCGUUGUAUUAGCUAGUUGGUGAGGUAAAGGCUCACCAAGGCGAUGAUACAUAGCCGACCUGAGAGGGUGAUCGGCCACAUUGGGAAUGAGACACGGCCCAAACUCCUAAGGGAGGCAGCAGGAGGGAAGCUUCGGCAAUGGACGAAAGGCUGAACGAGCAACGCCGCGGGAGGGAAGAAGGUUUUCGGAUCGUAAAACUCUGUUGGUAGAGAAGAACGUUGGUGAGAGGGGAAAGCUCAUCAAGUGACGGUAACUACCCAGAAAGGGACGGCUAACUACGUG